GAUGAACGCUGGCGGCGUGCCUAAUACAUGCAAGUCGAGCGAAUGGAUUAAGAGCUUGCUCUUAUGAAGUUAGCGGCGGACGGGUGAGUAACACGUGGGUAACCUGCCCAUAAGACUGGGAUAACUCCGGGAAACCGGGGCGAAUACCGGAUAACAUUUUGAACCGCAUGGUUCGAAAUUGAAAGGCGGCUUCGGCUGUCACUUAUGGAUGGACCCGCGUUGCAUUAGCUAGUUGGUGAGGUAACGGCUCACCAAGGCAACGAUGCGUAGCCGACCUGAGAGGGUGAUCGGCCACACUGGGACUGAGACACGGCCCAGACUCCUACGGGAGGCAGCAGUAGGGAAUCUUCCGCAAUGGACGAAAGUCUGACGGAGCAACGCCGCGUGAGUGAUGAAGGCUUUCGGGUCGUAAAACUCUGUUGUUAGGGAAGAACAAGUGCUAGUUGAAUAAGCUGGCACCUUGACGGUACCUAACCAGAAAGCCACAGCUAACUACGUGCCAGCCGCCGCAGUAA
rnacentral:rRNA from 1 species